CUAUUGUUAAGGAACUCUGCAAAAUGAGUCCGUAACUUCGGAAGAAGGACUGCUGGUUUUAUACCAGCCGCAGCAAAUAGGCCCAAACAACUGUUUAUCAAAAACACAGGUUUCUGCAAAAUCGUAAGAUGAAGUAUAGGGGCUGACGCCUGCCCAGUGCUGGAAGGUUAAAAGGAGGACUUAGCUUCGGCGAAGGUCUUAAUUGAAGCCCCAGUGAACGGCGGCCGUAACUAUAACGGUCCUAAGGUAGCGAAAUUCCUUGUCGGGUAAGUUCCGACCCGCAUGAAAGGCGUAAUGAUUUGGGCGCUGUCUCAACAAUAGACUCGGUGAAAUUUAAAUUCCAGUGAAGAUGCUGGGUACCCGCGACAGGACGGAAAGACCCCGUGGAGCUUUACUGUAGCUUGAUAUUGAAUGUUUGUGCUGCAUGUGCAGGAUAGGUAGGAGACUUUGAAGUCGGAACGCUAGUUUCGAUUGAGUCACCCUUGAGAUACUACCUCUGUUGUAUGAACGUUCUAACUCUGAUCAGUUAUCCUGAUCGAAGACAGUGUCUGGCAGGCAGUUUGACUGGGGCGGUCGCCUCCUAAAAGAUAACGGAGGCGCUCAAAGGUUUGCUCAGAAUGGUUGGAAAUCAUUCGUAGCGUGUAAAGGCAUAAGCAAGCUUGACUGUGAGACUGACAAGUCGAGCAGGUACGAAAGUAGGACUUAGUGAUCCGGUGGUUCCGUAUGGAAGGGCCAUCGCUCAACGGACAAAAGCUACCCCGGGGAUAACAGGCUCAUCUCCCCCAAGAGUCCACAUCGACGGGGAGGUUUGGCACCUCGAUGUCGGCUCAUCGCAUCCUGGGGCUGUAGUCGGUCCCAAGGGUUGGGCUGUUCGCCCAUUAAAGCGGUACGCGAGCUGGGUUCAGAACGUCGUGAGACAGUUCGGUCCCUAUCCGUCGUGGGCGCAGGAAAUUUGAGAGGAUCUGUCCUUAGUACGAGAGGACCGGGAUGGACAUACCUCUGGUGUACCAGUUGUUCUGCCAAGAGCACCGCUGGGUAGCUACGUAUGGAUUAGAUAAUCGCUGAAAGCAUCUAAGUGAGAAACUAACCUCGAGAUGAGAUUUCCCAUUCGUCAGAAGUAAGACCCCUGAGAGACGAUCAGGUAGAUAGGCUAGAAGUGGAAGUGUAGUGAUGCAUGGAGCGGACUAGUACUAAUAGGUCGAGGACUUAACCAAG
rnacentral:rRNA from 1 species